UUAUUCGAUGAAGCGGAAGCGAACCGCAAGGUUCACGUUCUGGAUUUAAGGUCUCUCUCUUGCAGACCGAUCCGUGUCGAAGACACUGUCAGGUUGGGAGUUUGGCUGGGGCGGCACAUCUGUCAAACGAUAACGCAGGUGUCCUAAGGUGAGCUCAAUGAGAACAGAAAUCUCAAACACAGGACAGCCCCUAGUCUCCUUCGCAGCCCCCAGCGGUCAGAGUCACACCGUAAAAACUAAACUUUUCCGGCUUGCAGCUUAGUACUUCAUGUUUUCUAAAAUAACAAGAACCACUUGGCAUAAUUAAGUUUGUUUUCAUACACGAAGU
rnacentral:ncRNA from 1 species